CGGGAUGUAGCGCAGCUUGGUAGCGCGCCUGCUUUGGGAGUAGGAUGCCGCAGGUUCGAAUCCUGUCAUCCCGA
rnacentral:tRNA from 3 species